rnacentral:rRNA from 1 species
AUUGAACGCUGGCGGCAUGCUUUACACAUGCAAGUCGGACGAGUGGCGAACGGGUGAGUAACGCAUCGGAACGUACCGAGUAAUGGGGGAUAACUGUCGGAAAGGGCAGCUAAUACCGCAUAUUAUUCGAGCGGCCGAUAUCUGAUUAGCUGGUUGGCGGGGUAAAGACCCACCAAGGCGACGAUCAGUAGCGGGUCUGAGAGGAUGAUCAGCCACACUGGGACUGAGACACGGCCCAGACUCCUACGGGAGGCAGCAGUGGGGAAUUUUGGACAAUGGGCGCAAGCCUGAUCCAGCCAUGCCGCGUGUCUGAAGAAGGCCUUCGGGUUGUAAAGGACUUUUAUUAGGGAAGCGGUACCGGAAUAGAAAGCCACGGCUAACUACGUGCCAGCAGCCGCGGUAAUUC